ACAUGGCGAACGGGUGAGUAAUACUUCGGAACUUCCAUUAAGUUUGGAAUAUCCUCCCGAAAGGGAGAGCAAUACCAAAUGUGAUCGCAAGAUUAAAGUCGCAAGACGCUUAAUGCAAGGCCGGAGCCCCAUCAGCUAGUUGGUAGGGUAAAAGCCUACCAAGGCUAUGACGGGUAGCGGGACCGAGAGGUUGAUCCGCCACACUGGGACUGCGACACGGCCCAGACUCCUACGGGAGGCAGCAGUUUGGAAUUUUGGACAAUGGGCGAAAGCCUGAUCCAGCGACGCCGCGUGCACGAAGAAGGCCUUCGGGUUGUAAAGUGCUUUUGCGUGGGACUAAUUUUGAAUGUACCACGAGAAUAAGAGGUUGCUAACUCUGUGCCAGCAGCAGCGGUAAUACAGAGACCUCAAGCGUUAUCCGGAAUCAUUGGGCGUAAAGCGUGCCGAUAGGUGGUUGUGAAAGUUUUGGGUAAAAGCCAGAAGCUUAACUUCUGAGUUUGCUCAAAAUACUGCACGACUAGAGGGGCAAAGAGGUCCUUGGAACGAACGGUGUAGUAGUGAAAUGCGUUGAUAUCGUUCGGAACACCGAAAGCGAAGGCAGAGGACUGGGUGCCACC
rnacentral:rRNA from 1 species